rnacentral:lncRNA from 1 species
CCGAAUGUCAUGGGUGCAUGGGUGAAGGAAGGCAGAAAGAAACUUGGAAUAAGAUUGAACAGCUGUAGUCAUGCUUUCAUUAUUUGAAAGCUUUUUGGACCAAAGAUAAUACACUGUGGGAUUUGUUGCCAAAAACGUCAGAUUUUUGGUUCCAGCUCAUGGUCCAGAAGCUGAAAGUGUGUCAACUUGGUAAUAGUAUCCAACAAUAAUUCAGUUCUAUAGUCUUUGUAGAAUGAUGGACAAAAUGAAUGUCAACAACAUUAAGCAGCCAGAAACCAAAGGUACCUUGUGACCUAGCAGCAAGGAAUAAGAGAAUCUUAACAGAUGUAAUUUAUAGCAUUACUGUUGAUGAAGUUAGUAACCUUUAGCAAGGAGACAUAGAAUCAAUAGCAGCCUGGCAGUUUGCAGCUGCAGAAAUUUAUGUGGGAAUUGACCAGGAAGUAAGGUGCAAGAGGAGUUGGCAGAAUAUUUAAACCAGAUGAAAAAAUUUUAGGUUAAUUAUAAAGUGUCCAAAAUGUGGAAUUAGAAUGAUUUCUUCAAUUUCCUACAAAAUGGACCAAUGUUUAUGAAAGCAUCCCAAAUGUAAAGAAUUAUACAUUGAUAAAUGUACAGAAAGAACAUUUCGGUGUUUAAACUGUGGCAUUGAAAGUGCCAAAUGAGAAAAUACAUUUCAGAAAUUCAGUGCAUGCACUUACAUUUAUCAGUGCACCCUCUCUUUCUCUGCUUAGAUUUUAUGGUGUUAUUAUUGAGAUUCAUAUAAUACAGCCUAUUCAAUUGGACAAUUGGAAUAUUGUUAUACACAGUUAAUCAACAGACUCUGUAUAAGUGAUAAGGCCUCAGAGAAGAAGAAUAUUAGAGCUCAACUCCAGCACGAUGAGUCGUUAACACCCUUGGGAAUGUAUAGCUGUUAAACAAAACAAGGAGACCAUAUUGCCCUGUGAAUUCAAAGGGAUCUAAUGGGAAUUUCAGAGUAAAUUUAUUUUAAGUUGAAGAAACCGAAGCACAAAGAAUAACUUGUCCAAGAUCACAGAGUUUAGGAAGUAAGGAAGCAGGGCUUUGAGCUUUGCAUCAAGUGAUGACCCAUAAAUGCAAAUGGAAUACAACAGGAGUGGGUCCCUAAAGUCCCACCCAGAGAAUGCCCUUCUGCCAAAAAAUUUCGGAUUGAAACAGCAAAAACACCUAAGCAACUGAUAGUCAGGUAUGGUAUUUUUCGAUGUCCAACUAUAGAACUGAAAAGAUCUUUUCUAUGGUUAGUCUACACGAAUUUCUGUUAAAGAAGGAACAAAUGCCAAACGUAGGGCAGGGUACUGUUUGACAGUAAAGAAGGAAAUUUUAGAAUUGCUUUCUGGUGGUAUCACUUAUUGCUUAUUGUUCUCCACCAAAAAGCAACUUUUAAAAAUCAGCAAUGAUUGAAGACUGUGGCUUGCUAAAGAGGACAGAUUUUUCUGGUCUAUUAUUCUGGAGUGGGGGCAGAGUGGAUGUUUGCUUAGCAGGCAGAGAGCUCAGUACUUUACAUGUGGCAUGGCAUGGUAGAUAAGGUUAGGAAUUAUGUCCUUUUUUUGUUUGUUUUUUAAGAUUUGGAACCUAGGCUCAAAAUGUGCUAAAGGUCACAUAGCUGCUAGGUGCUAAAGUGAUGAUUCAAAUCCCUGGUUUAUCUGACUACAACAGCUCUUGCUCCUUCCAUGAUCCUACCAUUGCAAUCCCACCAUAGAAAUCCUAAAUACAAAUAAGGACAGAUAUCAUUGUCCAAAAUGAGUUUCCAUUGUCGGUUUAUCUGUUGAGAUCGACAUUUUGGCUUUGAAAAAGAAAAUUACUGGUUAGUGUUUCACCCUAUUUCAACCUCUCUUUCAGCUUCCACAUGAGAUGAUUCCCUUAAAAUUUUAAUGCUUUCAAACGAACGAAAUCUAGAGAUAUUAGCUACAUUUUCCAAACAAACAAGGGGUAGGAAGGGUGGGAAAAUAACCUAACCUUGUUCUUGAGAUCAGAAAUGCUUAAAAGCAUGUGUUAAAAGCCCGAGGGAGAAAUAUUCAGUAUUUUUCACGAGUUCAGCUCAGGCUCCAUCGCCUAAUCAUUUUCUUAUCGCCAAAUAUUACAUAUUUACACAGGUGGUUCUCUGAUUUAAUUGUUUGAAAGCAGUCACUGGAAGCAAAGCUAUGUGACUCAGCUUUGGUGAUGUACUCCAGCUGGAGUCUGACAGGUAAAUAAUUACCACUAAUCAAAGCCUAGAUGAAUUCAGGUUCUUCAAAGUCAGAUGGGUGAGAAGGGGACAGGGAUUAUUAAUGAACUGUUAGGAAUAUCGGGAGAAAUAAGAGCAGGACAGUCUAGUCUCAGAUGAAAACAACAAAGAGAACAAUUAACAUCAGUAAGACCUCGGGUGCCAUGUGUAUUACAGCACAAAGAUCUUUGGCUGGGCUCCGUUAUUCCCCAUUCAGGCAUAAUUAGUUUGGGUCUCUUAGGAGCCUCUCUGGGUCUACGAAACUCAGUUGGAUGAUGAGCUAGGUCCUUCUCGGUUCUCACAGGGUAUAAUUGCAUGAUUUCCUUAAGCAGAAUUCAGAUUUCUUGACAUCAAGAGGGAAAAUCUCUUUCUCUUGCUUCUGCAUGAGUAAAUAUUGUUUAAAAUAAAAAUUAAGAAUGAACACAUUUGCUCCUUAAAAGCAAAUCAUAUGAGAUGAGUGCAUAUUAAGUGAACAAACUUAGAUGGGAGGGGGGACUAACCAUCCCUAGGGGGCCCACAGAUUUCAAUAGAAAUUUCCAUGGAGUUAUUAUGAAGGAUAACUUCCCUGAGGCUUUAGCCCCUGCAUGAUGGAUUCAAGAGCUUUACUUAAAAGUCAGCCUGUACUGGCUUGUAGAAAGCUUUCAGCCUCUUUUUGCAAGUCAUUUUUCAGCUUCCUGGUAAUGAACAAAACAGGUCUGAUAAUUUUCAAUAAUAAUCUCAGGAAAUGUGUGGUGUAGGACUGCAGCUUUCAAGCAGUUGACACAGAAAUCUAGUUCAGUCAGUGUGGAGAGUGGUGCCUGAAGACGCCUUCUGUGUUUUGGGAUCAGCCAGGAGCGCUGUAUCAGCCACAACAAGGAUAUAUUUUGACUGGUUUUCAUCAGUUUGACUUGAGUGGGUUUUUUUUUCUUUUUCUUUUUUUUUCUGCCUCUUGUAAAAGCAUUUGGCUCUGAAGCAGAAAAAGAGUUUUUUAGUUGUAAUUCAAAGUACUCUUAUUGUCUCAUAAAAUGUGAGCUGGAAGAUUUACCUUAUGGUUUGGCUGCUGGCUGGAAGUAAGAAGUAAGCAAGAGUCCAGUGCAUCAGGGGAAAAUAUUAAAUGACCCCUUAAGAUUCUCUUUAGCCUGAAAUUAUGGUCCGUACCCUUUUCACCCUGAGCAGAAUUCCCAACAGGCCCUUGAAUGAGGAGAUCUGGGAGAAACAUGCCUUCUUUGGUCAGAAUGAGCACCCCAAAUAUAAUAAUCCAAAAGAAAAAUAGCAACAUCUUAAGGAAAUGGUUUUGAAUGAGAUCUUCCAAGACACAAUAGUAUGUGCUGACUCAGGGAAACAAGGCGACAUGCUGAAAACAUUUGCAGGCCUGGAAAAUAACUGGUUUAAUAAUUCAAGAUGCUUUUAAGUUACACAAAACUACAAAAAAACAAAUAAACCUCCAUUCCCAAAGUGAUGUUAUAUGUGAGCCACUCGUGAAAUGAAAGAAACAGAGCUUAAAGUCUGAUGCAAAUUCAGCUUUGUGAAACUCUUAAACAACUGACAAAGAAAUUUACCACCCCACACCACAUCCCAAAUGGACUAAUGGAAAUAUUCUUUUCAUGACUUCAAAAUAUUUAGAUGAAAAGUGAAAUAUUUAGUCAAUACCCUAGAUGUAUUUUCAUCUGGGUAUCAUGCAUCUGAGUGUUUCCAAGGGGAUUUUCCAAGUGUUCCUAGGAUAUACAUCAGGGUGUCUCAACCCUGGCACUAGUAGCACUAGUAAUGCUUUGGACUGGAUAAUUCUUUGUUGAGGGAGUUGUCUCCUGCAAGGUGGGAUAUUUAGCAGCAUUUUUAGUUUCUACUCAUGAGACACCAGUAGCACUCCCCAAGUUGUGACAACCAAAAAUGUCUCCAGAUAUUGCUAAAUGCAAAAUUGCCAGGAGCUAAGAAUAUACUUCAUUUUUACUCAUUAAAUCCCAAAUGCAUCCUAUGAAAUACUGUUUCUGUUAUGAUCCUAUUUGUUCCAACUUUAUAAAUAACUAAAUGUGGCUUAGAAUGCAUUAAGUGACCUGUUUGAUUUCACAGUCUACUAAAGACAGGACUUCAACAGAGCCUACACUCUUUGUCCUAACACUGUAGGCACACACAAUUUGACUUAAACAAUACUGUAGAUGCUCUAUGGUCUAAGAGUUCCAAACAUACAGAAAUAAACACUUUCUUCAAAGAAUCACAGAAUGACUCUAUUCAAAUGUCUUCUCAGUUCAAAGAUGUACAUUGGAAGUCAGGAAGGACCACACAGUUGUCCAUGCCUGGAUGUGGGUAGCUGAGCCAUAUGUAAUUGCUUCAAUUUGCUGCUUAUUACUUGUACAUUCUUUCAGUUACCUGAGUGGAUAGCUAAGUCUAAAGAGCCCAUCAGAUCCAUCAUAAAGCAGAUGGUGUAAACACUAGUUGACAGUAAACAUAUUGUGACAAUGGAAAGGGAAGAGAAUUUGUGAGAUAAACAUGCCUAAGGUUUUCUGUUUACUAGCCCUGGAAAUUUUUGAAAAUUAACUUAUUUUAGCUUCUCAUUCCUUUAUCUGAAAAAGAAUAAUUGUAGCUAUCUUACAAGGUUGUUGUAAGAAGCUAGUACAUGCAAAGCCCAUGAUAUAGAACUUGGUAUGUAAUAGGCACUUGAUAUAUGGCAGCCAUUAUUGUGAUUCAUUUAAUGGCUAUGAGACACAACAGGAGAUCCCUCUAUUUUCAUGAGAUGAUUGGUGGAGGAGAGGAACCUGAUAAUGUUUACUGAGCUUUUACUACAUGCCAAGCAAGCACUGUACCAAGUGCUUUACAUGAAUUAUUGGAUUUCAUUCAUGAAGUUGAUUCCUUGCUGAUUAUAUUAAGCACUCUUUCUUUUGGUUUGUUUACUUAUCUACUAUCUGUCUUACUUACUUACAGGAGGGCAAGGAGCAUGUCUGUUUUAUUCUCUGCUAUAUACCAGUGCCUUAUACCUCAAUCAAUGUUUGCUGAAUUAAUAAAUUAAUGAAUCUGUGAAAGAAAGGAUGAGCCCUCUAGAAAUGAUCUUUGACUCUCUUCUAUCAAGUGCUCUUGAUUCUUUCACAAGCAGCAUUUCUGGGAUGCAUUCAUUUCUUUAUCAUUCCUACAGCCAUAGGCCUGCUCCUGACUGUCACGGCCUUAAGUCUGGACUGUGGCAGCCACAUCGUAAUUCUUAUGUGGUUCUAGCUUCUUCUCACUCCCAGCCAAGCUCCUCACUGCUGCCAGGGUAAUAUUCCUCCCACACCCUCAUCAAGAAGCCUCGCAUGGAUCAUUGUCAUGGACUAGGUCCAGACAAGCAUCUUCCACUCAGAACCAAAACCUUUCAUGAUGGACCCCAGCUUUCCCUAACCCACCUCACCUUCUACCAUUUACCAAUCCCGCCAUUUAUUUGGUGUAUAGUUUAUUAGCUGCCUCUCAGUACAAGGUACUGUGUCCUAGGUACACUUCAAUCAAACAUGCUUCCUGUCCUAUAGAGCAUAAAAUAUAUUUGGGGAGAAAAGCAUAAAAACAAUUGCAACACGGUAUCAAUCCAUUUGAAAGGAGCUGUACAGGGUGCAAGGUAGGUUCCUGGGAAUGUCUGUAACCCACACUUGGGAGAUCAGAGAAAGCUUCCCAGAGGAGAAAAGAUAUCACCUGACAUCCAAAAGAGCUUUGCUAGAAAAAUAGCACAGAGAGAAUACAUGUGUUAACCCUUGAGAGGAAUGAGUAUGGCUCUCUCAAACUGAAAAAAGUUAUUAUCUGGAGAGUAGAGUGUGAAGUAGGUGGAGGAGAGGAGAGGAAUGACAGAUGCUUUGAAGGAGUGAGUGCCAGUCACAGAGAGGGGCUGUUACCUACUUGAACUCUACUCUGAAGACAAUGAGAGAUCACAAAGCAAUUUUGAAUAGGUUGAGAUGUUAUUGCUUGAGAUUAAAAGGGGAUGGUACUGCAAUGGACACUUAAAUAAGUUACCAUUUCUUCCUUAUAAAAUAUAGGCUUAUAAAACAAAUUCACACUCUGGUUCCAGAGCUGUAAAGGAAAUGUCAACUACAGUGUAGAAAGGUGAUUUUGGCCUUGGAGCCUGGGAGAGAUCUGAAGAGCCCACACUCAGGUCUUGCCUGAGCUCUGUCAACAACUUUGGUUCUGCUCUGUGCCUCGGCUUCCUCAUCUGUCAAAUAACAGGGAUUAACUGACUAUAUGACCUCCCAGGCCUCUCCCAGCUCCUCCCUUCUCUGAAUCCUGGCCAGUGGUCAUAAGGCUGAAGAUUUGCUAAGAGUCACCCUUGAGGAGCUUGUUAAACUCACUCUCCAAAACGCAGGUAUUGUAAAUGCUGACAUUAAAAAAAAAAAAAAAAAAAAAAAAAGGUACUCCAGGUGAAUCUCAGGCAGGGAGGGAUUCCUCAGACAAAGCUUUGAGAAACUAUGAGAAAAAUGAGUCUCUUCAUUGAAACAGGAAUGAAGCCUGGGAAGGGCCCACUCCUUCAGGCAUUGGCCUGUGAAUCAUCAAAAGGAGACUCAAUCCCGCAAUUAAACCCUUAGAACGUAGAAGCCAAAUAAGAAUAGAUCAUCUCAAGGAAUUGAAAUGGACAGAAUAAAAAUCUCCCCUUAGUGCUGUAGUGCUGUGCCCUGCCCCGUGCCAAGCACUUGAUCCUCAUUACUGCCUGUUAGUCACAGCCUGCUGCAUGGGCAGAUGGGCUGCAUGGUCAGGUUCUGAAGCUAGGGGGCACAACCAGGGAGCAAGGACGCCUUUGGCCUUUGUGGUGAGGCGCAUGCAUCACAAAUGAUGACAGGCUUUGGUUAGCUUUUCUAACAUCCCAUCAUUUGUUCAUUGAUGUUUCCGCCACAUAUAGAACAGGUUUGCCCUUUGCUUUCAUGUUGCUUCCCUAACAUCUUUUCAUUUUAACCGAAACAACUAACAUGUCAAGAUAUUACCAUAAUAUAUGAUUGAAAAUAUGCCACUUUUUGAGAACGUGCUCAAGGGAAUCUCCCACAUUCCCUUUGCCUUCCAGCUAUGCCAUGAAGUAGGUAAUAUCAAAAUCGAAUGCUUCUAAGAAUUCAUCUAUGGAAAUCUUUGCAGGAAAUAAUCCAUCAACCUUUGAGAUAGGCAGGCCUUUAAAACCAGGGUGAUUCCCUGCAUACAAAACCAUAACUAAUGGCAAAUUAGAAUAAGCCUAACAUCCGGUACUCUCGAUCAACAAGAAAAAAAAAAUGGAACCUAAGGAGAAUAAGAUUUCAAAGGCGAAGUGCAGAUUCAGAAUUAACCAAGGAAAUAGGUGUUCUGACAUUAAGAAAUAUUUCUUGUUGUCACCGUCAGAAUAUUUUUGACAUUGAGGAGAUGACACAAGAGCCUAAACAGGAUGAGAAUACUGAGCUUUUAAGCAGCAUUUGCCUUGAUUUUUACUUUAAAUUCACUGGACCCUUCUGCUGCAAAGAUCAAUUUUCCAGAGGGAACUUAUUCACCAAGAUCCAGUACUAAUUACUUUGUCAGUGUAACUCCCAUGGAGAAGAAAGCUCAUAUCUUAGAGGACAGGGCAGCAUAAGUGGGGCAAAAUGGACUUCGGAGGCAGGCAGACCUGGAUUUGAAUGCUCGCUCCACCACUCUCUAGCUGUGUGUCUUUGUCAAGUUGCAAAACUUCCCAAAGCCUAUGCUUCCUCAGCUGUAAUGGGAAUAACAACCAGGAAUUUAAAAAUGUAUUAUAAGAAUGAGAGGCCGGGCACAGUGCUUCAUGCCUGUAAUCCCAGCGCUUUGGGAAGCCGAGGCGGAUGGAUCACUUGAGGCCAGGAGUUAAGACCAGCCUGGCCAACAUGGUGAAACCCCGUCUUUAUUAAAAAUACAAAAAUUAGCCAGGUGUGGUGGCAUGCACCUGUAAUCCCAGCUACUUGGGAGGUUGAGACAUGAGAAUCACUUGAACCUGGGAGGUAGAUGUUGCAGUGAGACGAGAUCACGCCACUGCAUGCCUCUACAACCUCCAACUCAGAGGCCUGUUAGAAAAUGAGCUUCUGAACCUGGAAAACUGUGCACUGUUCUACAGACUCAGCCAAAACAGGCCACGUGUCUCAACAAUCUCCACAGUAGUACAAAGGUUUCCUUACAGUUUAGUAGCAGGCAUUGUUUAAUGCAGGGAUUUUCAACAUUCUAUUGCCAAAAAUUCCAUUAAAUCAUGUUUUUGAAGCUCUUGCAUACAAAAUAGGUGAUAUUUAUUCAACAAAUUAUUGUUUCACUUCUUAUUAAUCUAAGGUAUAAAAAAUUUUCCCAUAGAGGUUUUGAAUGAACACCAUUCAUUCAUCAGUAAAUGUCUAUGCAGUACUAUGUGUGAUAUGCUGGGGACACAAUGCUGACAGAGACCUGAUUCCUGCUCGCAGUUUGUUGGGAAGAUGGACAAGUGAAAGCCAUGACAGUGAGAAAGAGCCGUGACAAGGCAAGUGCAGAGUGUUAAGGGAGUCUAUGGAAGAGGCAUUGCCUGUGACUUGGAGAGUUAGGAAUGACUUUCUGGAGGAAGUACCUCAGUCCCAGGACUUGAAGGAUAAGUGAGAGAGAGCCAAGAAAGACAACACAGGGAGAAAGCUUUGGGCAAAGGGAACGAUGUGUGCAAGUCUUUGGGAUGAGUGAACAAGCUGAAUUCCAUAAAGGAAACAUUUUUGGUAUGGCUGAAGUGUGACCUUCCCAACACAUUUAGUCCUGCGCUGCCUCACGUUGGUCAAGUGGUUGAUUUCAAUUACGCUUUUCGCGAGUAUCUUCCAGAUCACUGCCUCCCUCACAGAUCCUCCAGGAUUUGUAGAAUCCCAGCUGAGAAUAGUCAAGGGCUUUGGUCCAAACAAAUCAAGCUAAUUUCCCAACUCCACCGUUGAGUGUCUACACCGCCUUGGGCAGUGCGCUUAUUUUUGAGUCUCAAUUUCCACAUCUAUGAAUGAAAGAAUAAUAUCUAGCUUGUCGAGUAGUUGGGACCAUUAAAUAUAUUGAUGACUCUCUACCGAGGUACCUAAUGGAUUCCUUGACACACAGUAGGCACUCAAUAAAUCACAACCAUCCCAUUAGCCACCAGUGAGAGCUGAAUUCUGUAAACUUCCAACUGGCAAAUGCUGAUAUGGUUAAUGGCUGCAGUAAAAACCCAGGUGUAUCAAAUUUAGUUUUCGGUUUUUGAAGACAAAAAUCUUCAAUAAUUAUACACUGACAAUUCUCGCUACUUUUGAUUACUAUGACCCAGAUACCGUGGAAAGCAUUUAUAUUAAACUUUUAUUUAACCCUUACAACCAUGCUAUGAGAUCAUUUGUAUUUCUACAAAAGAAAAAGCCUCUUGAUCUUAACUACAUUUUCACAUUUGGAGUUAAACAGUUUCAUUUCCUGCACAAGUUCCCAGGGACUUUAAUCUGAAAAUAUGCAUUAUCAAAUCUAAGAUAGAGGAAAACAGUCUAAAGGGUUUUCCAGAUGUAUUUGACAAUUAAAUCUCAUUUUGAUUGGAUGUAAAUUAAAAUUUCAUUGAGAUGUACUUUGUAAAAUGCUAAAAUAUUAUCAGCACUAUUUUAUACCUGAGAAAACUGGGCCUCAGAGAAGUUAAGCAACUUUCCUAUUGUCAAACAGCUAAUAAGCGGGAGGGAUUAUGAUUUGAAACCAGGUCUUUCUCGCUCCAAAAACAUACACUUGGCCACUGGACAAUUAUUUUAACAGAACUCCAAUUCUUAGAAGAUAUGUAACGUACAAAGCUAUAGGUUGUUACACUACAACCCUAACAAUUCUGGAUAGAACAGUCCGAACAAAAACCAAAAAAACACCUCCGCAUACCAAGUCAGGAGUCUCAGUCUUAAAAGACAGCACCCACUCCCAAUACAGGAAAACAGCCAAAAAAAAAAAAAAAAAAAGCCACUGUGUUUCCAUACGACCAACGUUUUCCUGAUGUCAGGUAACUGAGACCUUCACACUACACUCAGCCCUACACCUACCUUACUGCUUCUCACCGUAGACUAGUCUGCUGGCCCCGCAUCUCAAAACCCCGGCUCCACCUAUAGUGGCCCAUACCUUUCCCUAUUUUAGUGGUGCUUAGUGACAGCUCGCAUCUGGUUUUUCCCUCAGCAAAGGCAACUGCAGCUCACUGCUGAGAAUAUUACUAAAGCAAAUAAUUCAUUUAGCCCAAACCUAAUAAUCCCUCCUCAAAACUCAGAGAAUAUGAAAAAGAAUUGCCCCUUCUAGUUCCCUCGGCAUUAUGGGAACAAGCAAGACUUUCAUUUACUUCAGCAGUCCAUAUGUUUGAAGGUCAAACAACACCUGGGUAUUUCUUUGAAAUGAACUAAUUGAGCCUGGAUGAUUUAGAGUUAGUCUUGCUGAAAGACUCACUGGAUCUCCAAUGGUAACCCAAAACCUGCUUUUGAAAACUCUGGAUUCCUCCAACCCCAGCUUUAUCAAAUGGCAAAGAAUAUUUGAUGCUGUUCAAAGAUUAAGGCCUGGAUCAAACUGAGUAAAAAGAAAGAGAAAGGAUUGCUUUCAAACUACUAUGAAAAAGAGCCUUGGCCCCAGGUGUUCAGAGUGGUAAAGAAAUCAGAGCCAGCCAAAGGGAAAUCAGGCAGAGGGCCUAGAAAGGAAUAGUUUUCAAAUGCUAAGUGUGCAUAGAGAGCAACUGGGAGGCAUCUUGACAAUGCAGGCUUCCCACCUGGUUUUUCCCUUGUAUUCCUCCCCACUUCCUUUUUUUUUUUUUUUUUUUUUUGAGACAGGGUCUCGUUUGGUCACCCAGGCUGGAGUGCGGUGGCACAACCAUAGCUCACUGCAGUUUCAACCUCUUGGGCUCAAACAAUCCUCCCACCUCAGCCUCCCAAAUAGCUGGGACUACAGGUGUGUGCCACCAUGCCCAGCUAAUUUUUGUAAUUUUUUUUUGUGGAGACGAGGUUUCUCCUUUCCCAAGCCUAAACUCCUGAGCUCAAGUAAUCCACUUGCUUUGGCUUCUUAAAGUGCUGGGAUUACAGGCGUCAUAUGGUUUGGCUGUGUCCCCACCCAAAUCUCAUCUUGAAUUGUAGCUCCCAUAAUUCCCAUGUGUUGUAGGAGGGACCUGGUGGGAGAUACUUGAUUCAUGGGGGCAGUUUCCCCCAUAGUGUUCAUGUGGUAGUGAAUAAGUGUGGUAGUGAAUUCAUGUGGUAGUGAAUAAGUCUCAUGAGAUCCAACGAUUUUAUAAGGGGAAUCCCCUUUUGCCUCACUUCUCUCUUGCCUGCCACCAUGUAAGAUAUGCCUUUCACCUUCUCCCAUGAUUGUGAGGCUUCCCCAGCCACGUGUAACUGUGAGUCCAUUAAACCUCUUUUUCUUUAUAAAUUACCCAGUCUCGGAUAUGUCUUUAUCAGCAGCAUGAAAAUGGUCUAAUAAAAGGUGUGAGCCACUGCUCUCAGCACUGUUCCCCUUUUAGCUAGUUUUCAUGGAAACCUCGUUCAUAGGAACACACCAAAUUAACACAUACAGAGACCAGUUUGAUUCAGAUUGGGAGAAACGCAUCGACUUCACCUAAUUGUUUGCAUCACAUGCUGCCAUGAACACCAAUUGGUUAGUUUGGUUUAUGUCAGGUGACUUCUAUCUGAAAGCCAAAGGUGGUCUCAAGGUGGAAAAUCCCCUCUUUGCCUAUUGGUCCUCCAGUUUCACAAACACAUAGGACCUUGUAUUUGUCUGUAUCGUUUUCACUGGCACUGUGGUGAAGUAUUUCCCCAUUGGACUAUUAAUAUCUUAUUCUGCACUUGACUGUGAACUUCAUGUGGAUCCCUGCCCAUCUUGGUCAUAACUGCAUUAAUAACUGAAUAAAUCAUAACUGAAUUAUUAAUAGUCAUAACUGAAUUAAUAAACGAAUGGCAUUAGAAACCAGUGACUGGGCUAACAAGAGCUCUCUGGGGCAAAUACAUUGGGUGAUACAUAAUUUUUUUAAAAAAUGGAGAAAAUGUACAACCAUUUAUUUUCAUCUUAUAAUUUUA